UACGAAGGGGGCUAGCGUUGCUCGGAAUCACUGGGCGUAAAGCGCACGUAGGCGGGUCGUUAAGUCAGGGGUGAAAUCCUGGAGCUCAACUCCAGAACUGCCCUUGAUACUGGCGAUCUCGAGUUCGGGAGAGGUGAGUGGAACUGCGAGUGUAGAGGUGAAAUUCGUAGAUAUUCGCAAGGACACCAGUGGCGAAGGCGGCUCACUGGCCCGAUACUGACGCUGAGGUGCGAAAGCGUGGGGAGCAAACAGG
rnacentral:rRNA from 1 species